UACGGAGGGUGCAAGCGUUAUCCGGAUUUACUGGGUUUAAAGGGUGCGUAGGUGGGUCUGUAAGUCAGUGGUGAAAUCUCCGAGCUUAACUCCAGAACUGCCUUUGAUACUGAAGAUCUUGAGACCGGAAGAGGUAAGUGGAACUGCGAGUGUAGAGGUGAAAUUCGUAGAUAUUCGCAAGAACACCAGUGGCGAAGGCGGCCAACUGGACCAACACUGACGCUGAGGCGCGAAAGCGUGGGGAGCAAACAGGG
rnacentral:rRNA from 1 species